UCGUAACAAGGUUUCCGUAGGUGAACCUGCGGAAGGAUCAUUACCGAGUGCGGGCUGCCUCCGGGCGCCCAACCUCCCACCCGUGACUACCUAACACUGUUGCUUCGGCGGGGAGCCCUUUCGGGGGCGAGCCGCCGGGGACUACUGAACUUCAUGCCUGAGAGUGAUGCAGUCUGAGUCUGAAUAUAAAAUCAGUCAAAACUUUCAACAAUGGAUCUCUUGGUUCCGGCAUCGAUGAAGAACGCAGCGAACUGCGAUAAGUAAUGUGAAUUGCAGAAUUCAGUGAAUCAUCGAGUCUUUGAACGCACAUUGCGCCCCCUGGCAUUCCGGGGGGCAUGCCUGUCCGAGCGUCAUUGCUGCCCAUCAAGCCCGGCUUGUGUGUUGGGUCGUCGUCCCCCCCGGGGGACGGGCCCGAAAGGCAGCGGCGGCACCGUGUCCGGUCCUCGAGCGUAUGGGGCUUUGUCACCCGCUCGAUUAGGGCCGGCCGGGCGCCAGCCGACGUCUCCAACCAUUUUUUUCAGGUUGACCUCGGAUCAGGUAGGGAUACCCGCUGAACUUAAGCAUAUCAAUAAGCGGAGGAAAAGAAACCAACCGGGAUUGCCCCAGUAACGGCGAGUGAAGCGGCAAGAGCUCAAAUUUGAAAUCUGGCCCCUCCGGGGUCCGAGUUGUAAUUUGCAGAGGAUGCUUCGGGUGCGGCCCCUGUCUAAGUGCCCUGGAACGGGCCGUCAGAGAGGGUGAGAAUCCCGUCUUGGGCAGGGUGCCCGUGCCCGUGUGAAGCUCCUUCGACGAGUCGAGUUGUUUGGGAAUGCAGCUCUAAAUGGGUGGUAAAUUUCAUCUAAAGCUAAAUACCGGCCGGAGACCGAUAGCGCACAAGUAGAGUGAUCGA
rnacentral:misc_RNA from 1 species